CGUGCCCUCUUUUUUUCUUAUUUUCUUGUCAAAUGUCUGAGGUACAAAACUGAGGAUUCGCUGCACAUAUAUAUGCAGACCCGGACCAGCCCCCGGCCGACCCGGACUCGUAGAUGAACUCUAAUCUGACCCGGACUCAGCUUGAUACUACAAACACUUAUCCGGGCUGUGACUAUAAAAAACCAAAGCUCCCCUCUUCCCUGGCGUCGUCUCCUCCUUCCGCCCACACAUCCUACCACCUAACCAUGAAAUUUUGCGGCGCCUGGCCGCCAACCCAUGGAAGCGCUCUUCUCCGGCCACCCCCACCGCCAGCCCCGACUGCCCCCCCGGUGGGAAAAGUCCUCGCCUUCCCCCUCUGAACUGGGUCUCCCCGGCGUUGUUUCGAAGAUCGUCGUCCGGUGAGGUUCUGGCGUCUCCGUCGAGUCCAGGCGUCGAGGAAAGGCGGCGUGCGCUUCAGAUCUGGGAGGGCGGCGGCAGCGCGCAAGCGAGGCUCUGGCCCCGAUGGCGGCGCCCGAGCAGGUCCGGCGCUCCCGCAAGGUCCCUCCUGCAGGGGCUAGCGCGCCCGACCCACUCCGGCGGCUAGGAAGGGCGGUGCGCACCGCGUGCCCGGCGGCGGAGCUCCAAGAUCGCACGCGCACGAGGCGUCCUACUGCAGCCCAAAGGCUGGUCCGUCAUCGAGAACAGUUCCGGUAGCCUUCCCUUCGUACCCACUACACGGAAGUGGUCGAGGCGUACCAAGCUUACUCGCCCAAAGCUUCCUCAUACCUUGUUUCUGGAGGAUGAGAAAAAAGCUCGUAUCGUUGAACUAGAUGGACCAAAUCCUUUUUCAGCAGCUGCCCCCCCCCCCCCCCCCCCCCCCCUCUCCAGAAGCUGUUGCAGAGGAGGAGAUCAACGAGGGGAUACCUGUAUCCACCGUUCUCGAUGCUGUUAAAGAUAAAAUGAAAGCUACAGCCCAGUCCGCAGAUGCCAACCCGGAAAAGCUAAGGAAGAUGUCUAAGUCCAUCGCUUUCCUGAAGGAUGUCCAAACAGCAUUACAUCUUGGUCGUGUUGAGUAAGCCAGAAACUCCUGAGGCUUGUCACCUUUCCUUCGGAGCUGAUUUCUUAAGGCUCUCAUCUGUGUAUACAUGUUGGCAUAAAGGGCAGCUGUCUGGCCUGGAAGACCGACGAGAUUCUCUCUCUUUUUUUUUUUUGUAAAUGUUACUCGUAAAACUUCUAAUAAGGAUAGAAAUAACUGGUGGCUCAGGACUUGAGGUCCCAGAGUGGGAGGUUGGGCGGCACCACAAACUCAAAAAAUAUACUGUAUUCCAUAUGUUCCAUUUCUUAACAUUUCUUAUUGCUGUCGUGGUUUCAUUGAGGUUAACAUUGUAGUACAACUAUUUUGCAACACGUGUUGAAAAAAGCUGCAAUUGUUUGUUAAGGUAUAUGUUUAUUUCAGCCACCCUGGUUUUGUCUAGAUGGUUUGUAGCUUUUGGAUAGACGUGGUGCACAAUCACAAUUUUUUGUUUUCCUGUCUCACCACUUUGCUCUAGCCUGUAGGUUAAUAUACAGGUUUUUCAAAAUCUCAGUUAGAGCUUGAUCUAAGAAAUUGUCCAGAUAAAUCCAUAAUAAAUUAUACUCCCUCCGCUCACUAUUAUAAGAUGUUAUAACACUUUUCUGAUUUGGAUGUAUAUAGACCUAUUUUAGUGUGGUUGUUCACUCAUUACAGUUCUUAUGUAGUCUAUUAAAAUAUGCAAAACAUCUUAUGUUUGUGAGAGUACUAUUUUAACAUUUGCAAGCUGCUUUAGUGUCAGAUAACCUCCGUUGUAUGUUGUAGGUACUAUCUUUUCAAUCAUGCUUUAGCCACUGAAUAGUGGUUCAAACGGGAUGCCAUGCCCACGUGACGAAUACGUGUAGCACUCAAAACUGUCCACAGCAUGAACCCAUCAGCAUAGACAGUCGUGAUGGAAAUCAGAGAGCCAACCCACGAGCUAAAGGUGGAUAAUCAUACGAGCAAAGGUGGAGGUUAACAGACCUUGUGCCUGAUAGGAAUGAGAGCGGGAUGAUGUUGAUAAAAUCACAUUUCCUAAUUCCUAACUAUUUCGAGUCUCGGGUGAACACUGAGAAGAAAGAUAAAGAAAAGAAAGUUUUCUAGUUAUCUGUUGAAUAUUCAUAAAAAGGAGUCGAGAUGACCGAUA